UGAAUGGGAUGUGGAGCUGUGUAAUUGUUGUAUCAUCAACUGUCUGAAUGGGAAUUGGUGGAGCAUGUGUUCGUUGUAUCAUCAACUGUCUGAAUGGGAUGUGGAGCUGUGUAAUCGUUUGUAUCAUCAACUGUCUGAAUGGGAAUGUGGAGCAUGUGUAAUCGUUUGUAUCAUCACACUGUCUGAAUGGGAAUGUGGAGCAUGUGUAAUCGUUUGUAUCCACUGUCUGAAUGGAAUGUGGGCAUGUGUAAUCGUUUGUAUGAUCAACUGUCUCUGAAUGGGAAUGUGGAGCAUGUGUAACGUUUGUGUGAUCAACUGUGUCUGAAUGGAAUGUGGAGCAUGUGAUCGUUUGUCUAUCAACUGUCUGAAUGGAAUGUGGAGCAUGUGUAAUCGUUUGUAUGAUCAACUGUCUAUGAAUGGGAAUGUGGAGCAUGUGUAAUCGUUUGUAUGAUCAACUGUCUAUGAAUGGGAAUGUGGAGCAUGUGUAAUCGGCAGAACGUGUGGAAUAAUCCCUCAAGACAUACAUCACUAUUGCUAAAGAGUUUUGAUUGCUGUGUGUGAUGAAGAAUAUCGUACUAUGAACUGAAGCCCUCUGUUAGAUGGCUCUUGUAGCUGUCCCAGUGCAAAGGAAUGACCAGAGGACGUUGUCUCCUACAGCAGCAGCCUCAUCCACACCCCUGUUCCAUUUCCGCACCAAGAUCAGGCUGUAGUUCGUGCAGGUUUUUGCUGCUAUUUGAUUCAAAAUAAUCAUUUGAAUGUACAGCCUGGUCUUAUAGACUAGUAAAUCUAGGACAGUAGUAGGCCUAUGUUACGUAAGACAGAAGGUCACUUAGGUCAAAAAUGAAAGUAGGGUGGUCGUAUAAUGCGAAUGUCUAGCAACCCAAAGGUUGUGGGUUUGAAUCUCAUCAUGGACAAUUUUAGCUAAUUAGAAAAUGUGCAACUACUUAGCAUGAUAGCUAACCUUCAAGCUUUAACCUUUUAUUUAUUUAACUAGGCAAGUCAGUUAAGAACAAUUUCUUAUUUUCAAUGACAGCCUAGGAACAGUGGGUUAACUGCCUGUUCAGGGGCAGAAUGACAGAUUUGUACCUUGUCAGCUCGGGGAUUUGAACUUGCAACCUUCCAGUUACUAGUCCAACACUCUAACCACUAGGCUACCCUGACUCUUAACCCUAACCGCUAGCUGAAGUGUUGUGGUUGCAGGUUCACCUGCAUCAUCAAAAGCCUAUUAUUUUAGGGUGUUGCUAUAGGCCACCAAGUGCUAACAGUCAGUAUCUACACUGAACAAAAAUAUAAACGCAACAUGUAAAGUAUUGGUCCCAUGUUUCAUGAGCUGAAAUAAAACAUCCCAGAAAUGUUCCAAAUCUCUCAAAUUUUUGCACAAAUUUGUUUACAUCCCUGUUAGUAAGCAUUCUUCCAUUGCCAAAAUAAUCCAUCCACCUGACAGGUGUGGCAUAUCAAGAAGCUGAUUAAACAGCAUGAUCAUUACACAUGUGCACCUUGUUCUGGGGACAAUAAAAGGCCACUCUAAAAUGUGCAGUUUUGUCGCAACACAAUGCCACAGAUGUCUCAAGUUUAAGGGAGCAUGCAAUUUGCAUAAUGACUGCAGGAAUGUCCACCAGAGCUGUUGCCAGAGAAUGUAAUGUUAAUUUCUCUACCAUGAGCCGCCUCCAACCUCAUUUUAGAGAAUUUGGCAGUACGUCCAACCGGCCUCAACAC
ensembl:lncRNA